CGCGGGGCCUUGCCGCCCCCCGGCCUGCUGUGGCCCCCUGCCCGGGAAACGAGCCUAAAGGCAGAGGUUGAAGGUCACGUGGUCCUCGGCUUCACAUUACCGACGUCUCGUCGGAACAGUUACAGCCACGUAUCCUCAGAAGUGAAUCUAAGCCCGUGUCCUUACACCCAGAAAAUUCUAAGCUGAGACAUGUAGAAAAAGAUGUUUUGAUUCCACAAAUAAUGAGAGAGCGAGCCAAGGAGCUGUGUUCAGAUAAAGUGCAAGCAUUCACCAAAUGCUGUCAAGAAACUGGUCUUCUUAUGGUGGUGAAGUGUCGGCAAGAGAACACAGCACUGAAAGAUUGUCUGGUUGGCUACUAUUCUGAUCCAUUAUUCUAUGAGGAAUGCAAAACAGAGUAUUUGAAGCAAAGAGAAGAAUACAGAGCAACUGGAAUUAAGAAAAAAAGACAGAAGUUUACCUCAAAUGUGUAGUUGAAACUUAAAACUAACUUUUCAGAUUUUAUAUCCAACUUUGAUUUGAAUUGAUUUAAACAGACUUAAAUCAUCUGUACCCCCAUUUAACAGAAAAACGCAAAAUGAGAUAAAUGGAGAAUAAAAUAAUCUCUGAACCUAAAAGUAUUUUUUUUUAUUUUCUGUAAUUAAAGAUAUAAAGCACACUGUCACAGUUUGCAAGAUAAGUCGCAAAGGUCUGUUCCUCUGUCUGGACUUGAGAUUUGGAAACUCAUUUACAAAUGGCCUUUUGGAAUUUAAGGCUUGUGGCUAGUUAUGUGUGGCAGGCUACAUAAAAACUUAAGGGUGAAUAAUUUAAGUUGUAUUAACUGAUCACAAGCUGGGUAUACAUUAAAAUUGGUCUAUUUGUCAUCUGAAGCUGAGGGUGUAUGGAGAUGCUCUUGAUGCUCUUACAAGAAGAGAAGGGUGGCAAAUGCAGAAGAGCUGAGCUUCUUGGACCAAUUUGAUGUAUCUUUUUCAUGAAAACGUUGAGUCAUAUGAGAGCCUGAUGAGUCUGUGUUGCCGGAAGAGAUGGAUGCCCCAAUGCCUCUGUGUGGCCCAGACUGACUGUUUCAACUCUAGAGGAAAAAAGUCGCCUGAUCGAGACCUUCCCUGAGAAUGGGAGACUCAGGCACGCCGGAGGCAAAAUCAUCGAGUGCGGUAUCCUCCCCUGCUUUCCUCUUUCAGAACGAAGAUGAUUGUAUAAGCUGCCACACUUCAGGAGUGAGCAAGUGACCACGCUUGCAAAAUUACUAUGGGUAGAGCUACUUCCGCGUGUAACUCGCUGUCACCGUGAUGAAAGGCUUUCACUUCUGAAAAUGGAAAAAGCACUGUAAGCCACUAGCAGUGCGGAUUUAAAUGACUUUUCCAUCCCGAGUCAAAAUUUGAUCGCAUGCUCCAGCCCAACAGACCUCUCACAAGCCAGCUGGCUCCCAGCCAACUUCAAAGCUGGGGGCUUCCUUUUCAAGCGCUACCAUUUUGCCGCAGCAGCGAGGGAGGGGACUGGAAAUGGUGCCCACAGCCAGCUCCCCCCGUCCCGCCCUCCUCGCUCAGGUAGCAGCAGCUCUUCCAAAGUCCGCCUCGGCGAACACCACUGCUCCCCUCUCCAGCAUGGGAAGCAGCACAGAAGAUAAACCCAGGCUCAAAGGCAAAGCUCAGGUAUCUCAGCCACUGCCUGGAGAAGCUUAAUUUUUUAUGUUUCCCUGUCACCCAGGACAGGCUGAUCAGGAACCCUUUGACACAAGCAGUCAAACUCAAGAGGAACACGCCAUAGCUUAAGGUAACUCAGUCCUUCGGGUUUCAACAUCUAAGAGAAUAGACUGAAGCAGUCUGCAGGGGAUGUUUGGUUUUUACCUGCACAGAGGAGGAUGAACCUCAAAUUAAUUGCUUGUGUUUGGAAUGACCUUUAUACACAAUCUAGAAAUUAAAACCAAGUAAAAAAAAAAAAAUUUGUGCCAAAUACUGAAAGGAGAUUUGUAAGUGAAACCAAUUUCGAACAAAAAUAAAUUUAUUUAAUAUCUUACACAGUAGAAUUCCUUCAUUGCACAAAUCAAAGUAUCAAUUAUGGUGAUGUCUGUUGGAUGAUACAUUACUUAAUAAAAACCCCUCUGUUCUGUGGAGGUGGGGAACCCCCAAAAGUCAGCUACAUUAGAACUAGACACCACAGAGCUUACGCAGCCGCACGAGAAAUGUUUUCUGCUGCUUUGUUAUUACACAGGUAGUUGGUUCUGUCAGCUCAAGCCUAGUGACUUGGAUUUGUUUUAUGCAUAUUGGGUUUUGUUCUAUUACUUUCCAAGAGAUUGUACUCCCCUGAGUCAGCCGUGUUCAUUGGUCAGAAUAAAUUCCAGCAUCUGACACCAUUUCCAUUAAUCACAGACAAGCCAGGAUACGUGAGCAAGAUAAUAGAAAGAUAAAAAACAAUAUCUGGUGAACGGGAAACACUGUUUAUGUAUGCUGCUCACUACCACCCUAGAAGGUAUCUGGAAGGCAUUUUUUCAACUUUGAUAGGCAAACGGAAAGAAGAGAAGAAGAUGGGCAUCCUAUGAAGUACUCGCUCCGCAGGGAAGAAAGCAUCUGGAACCACACGGGUUGUGUAGCACCUUGGUAAUGCUUUUACAGCCCAUCGUUACUACGGCUGUGCUGCAGUCAUAGCUUCCUUCUGUAUUUCUGAGCACUUUUAAGAUAAUUUGCUGCUAAAAAGCUGAGAAACUAAUUUUUAUUCUACUGAGCUUAAGCUGGGCCUGUGAAGUUGAAUACUUCACCCACCCACCCACCUGUAAAUAACAUAUUUAGUAUUAAGUGUCUUCCCACCCAUUACGAGUUAGAUACGGAUCUAAAAUACAAAGCAUUUUUCUUGAACAUAUUUGAGCAGUCAAAAGCGUUUCACUUAACCCUGUUAUAUUAAGCCAGAUACGAAGCAGAGCAGGUUUGGGUUUUUUUUUUUAAAAAAAAAAAAAAAAAAAAAAGCAUAAAUUGUUCUUGGCCUCAGGAGAAAAAAAAUAGCACUUAAGACAUCCAUAAUCUAUAAAGCAGACAGUUGCAAUUCACUUAACUCUAGUCUUAGUGGCAUACUAAAAGAUACCACAAAAAUACUCCUUGUGUAUCUCAACAAUGCUACAACACCUCAUCCGAUUAAAUUAAGGCUUUGUCUCUUUAAUAAAAGAAAAGUUAGUAGCCUUCACCACCACACAAAUAGUCGAGUCGAGGCCCUGGUGCCGUGCAGAGGCGGCUCGGUAACUGCGCUGCGAAGAGGGCGAGUCCGGGGCAGGCACCGCUGUGUGCAGCCUUGAGUCGGUUUCUUGCAGCAUGAACUGAGGGAAAUGAGCUGAAUGUCCGCGAUUCUCAGCGCUCGGCAGCAGCACUUGUGUUCCUUUAUAAUUCACAAUAAGGCCCAAAUUGGUGCAAUCUAAACAGGAAGCCUAUGCGUGAUUAUUCCCUUGCCAUUAUCUAAUAGAAAUCAAGAUUUCAACAAAAAAAAAACAAACAAAAAAACCACCCCUUCUCACCUUUCUUGUU